UUUGAGCGUGUCUCCCUUCUCGGGAAACACUCUCAACUCCACAAACCAUUGACCUCAAAUCGGGUGAGACUACCCGCUGAACUUAAGCAUAUC
rnacentral:rRNA from 1 species